GUGGGGAAUCUUGCGCAAUGGGCGAAAGCCUGACGCAGCCAUGCCGCGUGAAUGAUGAAGGUCUUAGGAUUGUAAAAUUCUUUCACCGGGGACGAUAAUGACGGUACCCGGAGAAGAAGCUCCGGCUAACUUCGUGCCAGCAGCCGCGGUAAUACGAAGGGGGCUAGCGUUGCUCGGAAUUGCUGGGCGUAAAGGGCGCGUAGGCGGACAGCUUAGUCAGAGGUGAAAGCCCAGGGCUCAACCUUGGAAUUGCCUUUGAUACUGGCUGUCUUGAGUUUGGGAGAGGUGAGUGGAACUCCGGGUGUAGAGGUGAAAUUCGUAGAUAUUCGGAAGAACACCAGUGGCGAAGGCGACUCACUGGCCCAAUACUGACGCUGAGGCGCGAAAGCGUGGGGAGCAAACAGGAUUAGAUACCCCUGUAGUCC
rnacentral:rRNA from 1 species